GCUCCUAAAGGAUAAUAGCUUAUCCAUUGGUCUUAGGAACCAAAAAUCUUGGUGCAAAUCCAAGUAGUAGCU
rnacentral:tRNA from 1 species